rnacentral:rRNA from 1 species
UCCACGCCCUAAACGAUGUCAACUAGUUGUUCGGUGAGGAGACUCAUUGAGUAACGCAGCUAACGCGUGAAGUUGACCGCCUGGGGAGUACGGCCGCAAGGUUAAAACUCAAAGGAAUUGACGGGGACCCGCACAAGCGGUGGAUGAUGUGGAUUAAUUCGAUGCAACGCGAAAAACCUUACCUACCCUUGACAUGCCAGGAACUUGCCAGAGAUGGCUU